rnacentral:rRNA from 1 species
ACCCCCCACGUUGUGUUUUUUAUUGAACAAAUUUCUUUGGUGGCGGGAGCAAUCCUACCGCCAGAGGUUAUAACUAAACCAAACUUUUUAUUUACAGUCAAACUUGAUUUAUUAUUACAAUAGUCAAAACUUUCAACAACGGAUCUCUUGGUUCUCGCAUCGAUGAAGAACGCAGCGAAAUGCGAUACGUAAUAUGAAUUGCAGAUAUUCGUGAAUCAUCGAAUCUUUGAACGCACAUUGCGCCCUUUGGUAUUCCAAAGGGCAUGCCUGUUUGAGCGUCAUUUCUCCCUCAAACCCCCGGGUUUGGUGUUGAGCAAUACGCUAGGUUUGUUUGAAAGAAUUUAACGUGGAAACUUAUUUUAAGCGACUUAGGUUUAUCCAAAACCCCUAAUUUGGUAGUUGCCAACACAAUUUAUUUCAUAACCUUGAACUUUAAAACAGGGAAGACCACCCCGUGAAAUUUAGCCAAUCCAAUAACCGGAAGGAAAA